UACCUGCAGCUCAAGUGGUGACCGCUAUUAUUGGGCCUAAAACGUUCGUAGCCGGCUGAGUAGAUGCUUGGGUAAAUCGUGCCGCUUAACGGUACGAAUUCCGGGUAGACUGCUCAGCUUGAGACCGGGAGAAGCUAGAGGUACUCCUAGGGUAGAGGUGAAAUUCUGUAAUCCUGGGGGGACCACCAGUGGCGAAGGCGUCUAGCUAGAACGGGUCUGACGGUGAGGGACGAAACCCUGGGGCGCAAACCGGAUUAGAUACCCGGGUAGUCCAGGGCGCAAACGCUGCUUGCUUGAUGUUAGUUGGGCUCCGGGCUCAGCUAGUGUCGGAGAGAAGUUGUUAAGCAAGCUGCCUGGGAAGUACGAUCGCAAGAUUGAAACUUAAAGGAAUUGGCGGGGGAGCGACAGCAACGGGUGGAGCGUGCGGUUU
rnacentral:rRNA from 1 species